rnacentral:misc_RNA from 1 species
CCGAGGAUUAUCAGCGCGAUUGCUGGAGCUCCGACGGUUUCGCUAAUUUUUUGGUAGUCGUCCAAUUCCAGAUGUAUCCAAACGCCAAAUCCAAGAAGGACUAAACCGACCAACUGUGAAAGAAUUAAGGUACAGAGUGCCGACGUCGAAGGGCCCAAAUCACAAUAUAUCCUCCGACCGUCUGCGGCUGAG